AGAGGAGGGAAGACACGGGUGUUGGUGGGUUCAUUCUUGCCAGGCGCCUCUCCUUCUCUCUCUCUCUCUGUUUUGGAGUCUCAGCUCUGGACAGGACCCAGGAAGCCCACCUCCAGACUUCUGGCACGGCUCCCCUCCAGUCAAGUGAUUGUAAAUAUAGCCCGGGAUGUUGUUUACAUGAACCAUCCAGGAGGAGGAGCGUAGGAAAGAGGAGGAGGAGGAGGAAGAAGAGGAAGACGGAGGAGUCACCAAGGCUGGGAAGAAAGAAAAUAUGGCAUCUGGUGAAAGCUUGGUCAUCCAUUCCAUUGUGGACAAAAUGUAUUGCAAAUGUAGAAGGUAUGUGAAGAGCAAGAGGCAAGUGAAGAUUUAGCAUUGACAGUUUUUUUUCCAUGUAAAAAGUAAAAGUCUUUUUCCUAUUCUUCACCUUCUUCUAGUUGUGCAUAUAUGUAGACAAUAAAAAUAAUGUCAUCAUCUCCUGAAGAUAUAAUAGUGUAGAAAAUGUGUUUUGGAAAAGCCUCGUGUACAAUAAUAUCUCAGUUAAAAGAGCAAAUGAGGGCCCUUCCACACAGCCAUAUAACCCAGAAUAUCAGGGCAGAAAAUCCCACAAUAUCUGCUUUGAACUGGGUUAUCUGAGUCCACACUGCAAUAUAUUCCAGUUCUUAGGCAGUACCUCAUUAAUAGAAAUUUUGGUAUUGGAGGCAGAACUAACAUGGACAAAAUAGGGAUAAAUUUCUGCAUGCAAAAAAAGAAUAUUUUAACAUGUUUCAGCAAACUUUUUUAUCCAAAGCAAAUAGUAUACAAUGUGAAAUGAAGCGGCCAGGUCAGGUAAGCCAUACAUAAGUUUAAAAAAUAUUACUUGAAAGUAAUUUUCCAAAAUGCAUCUAGGGAUUAUUUUUUAUCUUUCAUCAGCCUCCUCCACUUUUUUUUUUUUCUUGACCAGAUGUAUAGGUAUACUUUUCACAUCCUGGCCAUAGCUGGUGAGGCAGACUUGUCUACCCAUUCAUUCUUCCCUCUAUUUUGCUGUUCCGUAUGCCCAGUAAAGGAUUUUGGAGACAGCUGCUGUUAACCUUCCCAGUUGUAGCAAUGCAUUCCAGGCUACAGCAUGAUCAGUAUCUCAAUAUUUCCAGCUCAUGCUUUGUUUACUACUGACACUCCUGUAAACUGACAGGAGUGUUUCAUAAUCCUACCCAUGUUGAUGCUGCUAGACAUUAAUAUGAAAGAAAAGGGGGAGCUGGACAAUUUGUAAAAGACCACUAUAAUAAGAUUUGUUAAUGGAGGAAACACUGUAUUCCUUAUUGUCAGAGCAUCCCUUGUGCCAUGAAACAAUGAAGCCCAAACUGCAGGCUUACCUGUAGAUUUCCUAUUGAUAGCUUAUAUUUGCAUAGCAGUUGAAUUCCUAGUAAUAAUGCUCAGGCAUAUUUUGAUAAUCUAAACCUCAAUUAAGUUUAUGAAAACCAUUAUACCAAGAGCUCUGGUUGAAUUUCAAAAAGGAUUUGUAUACUUUGCAGGUGACAACUGUAGUUCUAGGAGCACCCGGUGGUGCAAUGGGUUAAACCCUCUUGCUGGCAGGACUGCUGACCAACAGGCCAGCAGUUCGAAUCUGGGGAGAGUGGAUUGAGCUUCCUCUGUCAGCUCCAGCUCCCCAUGCAGGGACAUGAGAGAAGCCUCCCACAAGAAUGUUAAAACAUUAAAACAUCUGUGCGUUCCCUGGGCAACGUCCUUGCAGAUGGCCAAUUCUCUCACACCAGAAGCGACUUGCAAUUUCUCAAGUUACUCUUGACACACACAAACUGUGUGUUUGUCACUGUAAAACGUGAUGUUGAAUAAAAUAGUUUACUCUAUUGUCAUUGUACAAUGAAACAAGGAGAGAAGAUCAACCUAAUUGAAUUGAGGAUAAAAUCACAAGUUGUCAUAAAGAAAGAAAGGUUUCUUUCUAAAAAGGUAUCUGUCAGUUUCCUUAUCAUUUACAUAGAUUCCUAUUCAGCAGCUAACUUGUUGUUUCUGUUCUUCAACUGAGGAGAAAUCAAGGAGCUGUUUGCAUUCAGCACAGUGGUUCUCAGCUUGCUGAUAUUUUGAGUUUUAAUCCCAGAAGUCUUAGCUGUGCAAUGGCCAGGGAUUCUCAAAAACAUCUGGAAAACCAAAUAUUCGAACCACUGGAAGCAGCUUAUGUUUAAAUAGUAAAGGAUCCCUGAAGUGUGCCUCCUCUGUAAUGCAUGUACCUCAAAAAAGAGGCUUUUUAAAAACCUGGGCAAAUAUCCUUGUCAAGCCACUCAAAUAAACAUGCUCAGAUUAACUGGGUUAAUUGAGCUUCCUGUUCCAUUGUGUAAAUAUCGCUCUCUUCUUAUGUAACAUUUGUUUCUGGUUUCUUUUUAACAUGUUACAAAUAUUUUGAGCAAGAAUUUGUCUCAUUGUUGCCCUCUUGUGGUUUUUUCUUUUCACAGCAGCUGGUUGGUUACUUUACGAUUUUGCCACUGCAAUAUUCAAAAUGAACUGGUCUUUCUUUAACUAAUUUCCAAACACUGAUAACUAUAAAUAUAUACAAAUCAGUUUUCAGAUUCAGGUAACGUGAAUGCAUUUACUUAUAUAUUUGCACCUCACUUCCUCCGUCGUCAGUUGGAGGAAUAUUUUCCAUUCUGGAUCUAAAUGUCAAGGAACAGAGUGCCCUGAGGUUACAAUCUGCUUUCCAAUGAAGUUAAAGGCAAAGGGAGUCACUGAUACGAAUAGCUGAGUUGCAUCCUAAAUCACCACUUAUAUAAGCACUCUUAUUAUGUAAUUCUUUUUCAGCUUUUGUCUUUAUGUAGGAAAUGUCAGCAUCACCCUGUAAGCCUGCCUUUUGAUUCUACUUGCAGACCAGUCAUUGUUGACUUUUUUCUGGUUUUGGUAGAAAAUAUGGAUGACAUCUGACUUCUGCUGUGUUUGUUCAAGUGAGUUUAAGUAAAGAUAUAGGAUAUAGUGCAGAACAGUAGUUCCCAACCUGUGGGUCCCCAGGUGUUUUGACCUACAACUCCCAGAAAUCCCAGCCAGUUUGCCUUCAACUCCCAGGAUUUCUUGGAGUUGAAGGCCAAAACAUCUGGGGACCCACAGGUUGGGAACCACUGGAUAGAACCCCCCAUGAUAUUAAGAUGGUUCUGGAGCCAAGUCCCAAUUUGAACUGAACACAUUGGAUGGAGAAGAGAGCCAAAAAUGCUUCCAUCAACCGUAUAUCCACUGUAAGAAGCAGAAACCCUUUAACUUCUCCACCUGAAUUAGCAAAAAUGUUGAUCACUUGAAAAAUCCUUGGUCAACUUUUUUAGAAGAUUGGGCUGCAUUUUUUACUUUUGUGAAGACAAAAUGGGCACACGUUGCAACUUUGGCUUUCAAUAGAUAGUAGAGAUGUAAUAAGUAGAAAGGAAUAGCAGGUUCACAUAAUGGAAGUUUUAAAAUAUGUGAAUGAAGGGAUCUGACCAAGGGAAAGGAAGUUAUAUUAUCCUCCCCCUUGUAUGUAGUAUAAUCUGUGGUAGACAUUUGUAGCAUUUGUAGAUCUUGUUUUGUAUGAUUGAAAAAAUUGUGUGUCAAUAAAAAUAUUUUAAAAUGAAUUCUCCUAACCUAGUUGAUUAGCAGAACUAACUUAUGCUAAACUGGACCUUGAGGUAGAAAAUCAAACUAGUGAUCCCAUCUCAUGAUUUGUUCAUAUAUUUACUUUUGCGUGCCCAAGCAAAUGUAAAUAAAGUCUGUUGGAGGCACUGCCCUCUGUGACCUACCUUGGAGGUAACACUAUAAAACAGUGGUUCUCAACUUGUGGGUCCCCAGGUGUUUUGGCCUACAGCUCAAAGAAAUCCCAGUCAGUUUACCAGCUGUUAGGAUUUCUGGGAAACGAAGACCAAAACAUCUGGGGACCCACAGGUUGAGAACCACUGCUAUAGAAGAACAUGAGAGAAGGCCCUUCUUGGCUUUGGCACCCUCAUUGUGACUUCUCUGAGACGUCCAGUUGGUAUCAAUAUUUGUGUCAUUCUGGCACCAGACCAAAAACUUUCAAUUUCAUAUGUGUUGGAAUUGGCACCAUUUUUAAUUGGUUUUAUAUAAUAAUGUAUAUAUCACCUAUUUUACCCCUAGUAGUAAUAAUGUGGAAAUAUGACUGGUUAUAUUAACUAUGUUUUUGAUGCUAUCUAGGCAUCUGAAGCAGUGCCAUGUUGUUUUUACCAAUCUAAAUGGUAUUUUGUUAAUUUCUGUCAUUCAAGGAUGGCAGUCUUUUAGGAACAUGACUUAUAUAGAGCUGGGAAAUUAUAAUCCUCCAGAUGGCCUUGAACUACAGCUCCCAAGAACCCUAGUGAGCAUGGCACGGGGCAACGCCACAACAACAGAGGAGUGCCACAUGGUUGUUAUUCCUGAUUUAUAUUUUGUAUCCCUUUGGGGAAAAAAUUCAAAUAAGCCCUUAUAAAUAGUAUAUGUGCACACAUACACUUCUGCAUGUAGACCUGUGCAAACAACCCAGGAAUCCUUUAAAUUCCAGCCUAGGAUUAGGGAAUAUGGUUCUUUUGAUCAGAGAUUCAUAAUCUGGACCGGAUUCAGGUUGUGAAGUCGAUGAGCUGAGGGCAAAAAAGAUUUUUUUCUCUCUCUCCAUUGUUUUAGUUUCUUCAAAUAUCUAACUUUUUUUCCUUCCAGAGUAAUCUGUAUGAAGGAAACCAGCACAAUAAAAUUAACUAUAUACAAAAUUUUGUGUGCAUAUAUUUAUUCUAUAGAGCCAGCAUGCUAUAGUGGUUUGAACAUUGGACUAUGAGUCUGGAGACCAGGGCUCACCUGUUUGAACCCAUUGGGUGACUUGGGCAAGACACUCUGAAUAAAUCUUGCAAAUAAUGUGGGCUCAAAGGCCCUCUGAAUAAAUCUUGCAAAGUGAUGGAUUCACCUUAAGGUCACCUUCAGAAGUGACAUGAAGGCAAACAAGAACAAACAUUGGUUUAUUUUUAGGGGAGAUGGACGGGAUCCAUAGCUCCAAUAAGAUUUUUUAAGGGGAUAUAUGAACCAAGAGAAAGGAUAAGAACCAUUGUGGUGUCCCAGAAUUACCACACUGAUCAUCUUUAGCAAAGAUAGAUAAUGGCAAAGACUGAUGUGGGUUUAAUUCCAAUGGUUGGAGGGCCACACUUUCCCCACUGCUUUAACCAUUCCCCUUCAGUUUUGAAAUCUCUGAGCAACUCAAAGAGGUGUGUGCUCUAUCAGUGAACCACAGCAGUUAUUAUGUUGGAGUUCCUUGAUCAGACCAUGGUGCUAUGUGAUUUAGUGCAUACUGUUUGACUCAUUAUAACAUGCACUACAUGAGGCCUACUUUGAAAAUUGUUUGGGGACUUCACUUGGUUCAAAGAGUUGCAGCCAGAGUGUUAAAUGGCUCUUGCUACAGCGAGCAUAACAAUUCCUGUGUUGCAAACGAGCUUCCGGUUGGUUUCUAGGCUGCUUGUGACUAUAAAGCCUAUGUAACCAAAUCUGUCUCUGUACAAAGCAGCCUAGGCCCUGAGAUCCUUAUGCCAGUUUCAUCACCAUCAGAGGUGCAUUUGGGGGG